rnacentral:rRNA from 1 species
UACGUAGGGCGCAAGCGUUAUCCGGAAUUAUUGGGCGUAAAGAGCUCGUAGGCGGUUUGUCGCGUCUGCCGUGAAAGUCCGGGGCUCAACUCCGGAUCUGCGGUGGGUACGGGCAGACUAGAGUGAUGUAGGGGAGACUGGAAUUCCUGGUGUAGCGGUGAAAUGCGCAGAUAUCAGGAGGAACACCGGUGGCGAAGGCGGGUCUCUGGGCAGUAACUGACGCUGAGAAGCGAAAGCGUGGGGAGCAAACAGG